rnacentral:rRNA from 1 species
AAUCAACGCUGGCGGCGUGCCUCAGACAUGCAAGUCGAACGAGAAAGUCCCCUUCGGGGGAUGAGUAAAGUGGCGCACGGGUGAGUAACACGUAGGUAAUCUACCUUCGGGUGGGGAAUAACCCAGGGAAACUUGGGCUAACACCGCAUAAUGCAGCGGCACCACAUGGUGACAGUUGUUAAAGCGGGGGAUUUUAGGACCUCGCGCCUGAAGAGGAGCCUGCGGCGGAUUAGCUAGNGGUGAGGUAACGGCUCACCAAGGUAACGAUCCGUAGCCGGCCUGAGAGGGCGGUCGGCCACACUGACACUGACAUACGGGUCAGACUCCUACGGGAGGCAGCAGUCGGGAAUUUGGGCAAUGGGCGAAAGCCUGACCCAGCAACGCCGCGUGAAGGAUG